GCCCGAGUGGCCUAAUGGUUAAGGCAUCUGACUUCUACUUAUUGUAUGGGAUCAGAAGAUUGCGGGUUCAAUCCCCGCCUUGGGUU